UGCAGUCUCACAAUGAUGUCUUUAUAUUGGUGUCCAAUGGUACACAAGUGGCACUGAAGGCAGCCCCGCCAAGCCCUGUGACUGAGCCCCCUAGUCCAUCAGAACAGACCACUAACUCUGAUCCAGCUCCAGACCCGGGAGCUGCUGAACAACAGCAAGGACCAGACCAGAAGCCAGAGCCAGAACAAGAGCAGGGUAACCACUGGUUUGAUUUGAAUGAUUCCACGGUGACCUCCAUCAGGGAGUCUGACAUAGAGAAGCAGUUCCAGGGAAAAGAGAGCGCAUACAUGCUGUUCUACAGAAAAACACAGUUGUGCAGGCCCAGUGAAGCUCUGAACAAUCCCCAAUAAAGCUCCUUCUCACUUCAUCAAGAUGGUCGAGGAGGAGAAUAUCAAGCUGCAACAGAUGCGCGAGAAGUUUGAAGCCACCAAUAACACAGUGGAGCUGCGUCUGCACCUGGCACCUUGUUAUAGGUUAGAAAAUGGAUCCCUGCAGCAGGGAAGUGCUUGUUACGUUGUAUAGUAUUUGGGAUUUUGGCUUUAUAGACGUUGCUGCUUUAACUGAC